rnacentral:rRNA from 1 species
AGUGACAAUAAAUAACAAUAUAGGGCUCUUUUGGGUCUUAUAAUUGGAAUGAGUACAAUUUAAAUCCCUUAACGAGGAUCAAUUGGAGGGCAAGUCUGGUGCCAGCAGCCGCGGUAAUUCCAGCUCCAAUAGCGUAUAUUAAAGUUGUUGCCGUUAAAAAGCUCGUAGUCGAACUUCGGCCUCUGCCGCCCGGUCCGCCUAUUUGGGUGUGUACUGGAGCGGUGGAGGCUUACCUCGUGGUGAGCAAUCAUACCCUUCACUGGGCGUGGUUGGGAACCAUGAUUUUUACUUUGAAAAAAUUAGAGUGUUCAAAGCAGGCUUACGCCCGAAUACAUUAGCAUGGAAUAAUAAAAUAGGACGUGCGGUUCUAUUUUGUUGGUUUCUAGGAUCGCCGUAAUGAUUAAUAGGGAUAGUUGGGGGCAUUCGUAUUCAAUUGCUAGAGGUGAAAUUCUUGGAUUUAUUGAAGACGAACUACUGCGAAAGCAUUUGCCAAGGAUGUUUUCAUUGAUCAAGAACGAAGGUUAGGGGAUCGAAAACGAUCAGAUACCGUUGUAGUCUUAACAGUAAACGAUGCCGACUAGGGAUCGGACGAGGAUUUUUAAUGACUCGUUCGGCACCUGAAGAGAAAUCUUUAAGUCUAGGUUCGGGGGGGAGUAUGGUCGCAAGGCUGAAACUUAAAGGAAUUGACGGAAGGGCACCACCAGGUGUGGAGCCUGCGGCUUAAUUUGACUCAACACGGGGAAACUCACCAGGUCCAGACACGACAAGGAUUGACAGAUUGAUAGCUCUUUCUUGAUUUCGUGG